rnacentral:lncRNA from 1 species
CUAACUUUUGUGCUAAUGCAGCUCUGGGUAGGGGGGAAGUUUUAAAAAGUAGGUAAUGUACUGAAUCGGAUUUCGUUUCACCCUUAGAAGUUAACUCUCUUGGUGCUUUUUGGGAAACUUUACACCUAACCUUAAAAGAUGUGAGAGAGGGCAUGCUACCUAACAAAUCACUGCUGUGCAGUAAGGCGAAAAACUUCAAAGUUCGCCGAACAAAAGGAUUAGCUCACUCUUGCAGCCGCUCUUCAUUGAAUGCAUGAGUUUUAUAAGGCAAAGACUGCGAGAACACUGUAAAUGUAAAGGAAGCAGUUACUUAAGACAUAUUUGAAUCAAGUAACCCUUAAAAGACUCUAUUACGUAUUCGCCAUGACCUUAGAAGGUAGAAAAACAGUUAUAAAUUAUUGAAA